rnacentral:sRNA from 2 species
UGCUGGUCUUUGAUUUGACAGUCUGAUGAGUAAAAGAGAUUCCGAUUAAAAGUUGUCUUCCAAUCUUUAUGAUGUCAAUUGUUGCAAAGAACUUCUGUCUCAUUUCCUUAACCAUAUUAUAAUGAAGGAUCUGUUUCUCGACUCUGAUAAUAUCUCCAAGCGCUGACCGUCAAGGCCUUUUCCCUUGGUAGGAUUGAUACAUUUGUCUUGGCGGAGUUUUUGCUUGGAUUUCCUACAUAUUGUAGUUAAUAUAACACGAAGUAAAAUAAAUCGACUGAGCAGUCAACGUAUGGAUAUGCAUAUGCAUGCACCAUCUAUGACUCUCGGCCCGGUGUGAUUAGGUACGGUUAUCCAUAUCUUCGAGUUAUUCUUUGUUUUAAUUGAAUUUGAGUGUAAGGCAGUGAGAGGAAGAAAAACACUCAGAUCCUAAUUCUCUUAUUAAUUCUCAAUUCCAAUUCCGAUUUUUCUUUAAUUCAUCUCUGAUUCUAUAUUGGAGUCUUUGCAGCUAUUGUGGCGGACGUAAAGCUUGC